UGACUGCAGUGGGGUUUGAACCUGUGACCCCCUGAUCCCAACACCAAGGCUCUAUCCACUGUGCCACACGCCCCCAUCAGCACACUCAAUAAGGACAAAAAAACACAAAAUAACCGUUUACUUCAAAAAUAACCGUUUACAGAAUUCAAGCCGCUCUCAUGGUGUUUGCCUUUGCUGCUCAGCCAGAGAAACUCAGGUGAUGAUUGGGUGGUGCAGAGAGGAGCUGGUGUAGUGUGUGUCUGGCCUAACAGACUCCCCCCUGCUGUGUGCGGCGCCCCCCUUUAGGCCUGUCAGAGAAGAGCGUAGAGAAGAUUGUAGCUAAGCAGGCAGCGAUAGGCUGGUCGGCUGCUCUCUGUCCAAUAACUCACUGCUUUGGACCAGAGCUGGAGAUGGCACUGAACACCGAGCAGGAGGAGAAGAGGCUGCUGAGGGAGCAGAUCCACGCCCUGGAGGCGUCCAAACAGGCAGAAAUCACCAAACUGCAGGAAGACAUAACAAAGCUGACUGACAAGUUAAAGAAGAAGCAGGAGAGUUUUCAGCGUCUGCAGGGAGAGAAGGAGGCUCUGUACAACGACAGCAGGUCAGAACUGAGAUUAU